rnacentral:rRNA from 1 species
AUGCCCUCCGUGAUCAAAUCCCCCUCCGGCGGGUGUCGGAAAAGGCCCCAAGAUGGGAUCUCGCGAGAACAGAGGCUUGCGAUGGCGGAAAAGUAUUUUGGUGGACGCUUCUGGUGGUUUGGGAAUAUUUGGGAAUUUAUAGAGCAAAAUUUAGUUUUGGAGGAGUCCCGGGGGCCCACAAGCCAGGGGCGCGCCCUGAGGGCUUGUGGAGUCCUCAAGACUCUUCUGUCCCCCUCUCCAAGCUCCGUGGAUGUCUUAUGGUCCAAGAAAAAUCAUCGCGGAAGUUUUAUUCCGUUUGGACUCCGUUUGAUAUUCAUUUUCUAUAAAACUCAAAACAAGGAAAAAAACAGAAAGUGGCACUAG